rnacentral:rRNA from 1 species
UAGGGAAUCUUCCGCAAUGGGCGAAAGCCUGACGGAGCAAUGCCGCGUGAGUGAAGAAGGCCUUCGGGUCGUAAAACUCUGUUAUAAGAGAAGAACAAAUUGUAGAGUAACUGCUACAGUCUUGACGGUAUCUUAUCAGAAAGCCACGGCUAACUACGUGCCAGCAGCCGCGGUAAUACGUAGGUGGCAAGCGUUGUCCGGAUUUAUUGGGCGUAAAGGGAGCGCAGGUGGUUUCUUAAGUCUGAUGUGAAAGCCCACGGCUUAACCGUGGAGGGUCAUUGGAAACUGGGGAACUUGAGUACAGAAGAGGAAUGUGGAACUCCAUGUGUAGCGGUGGAAUGCGUAGAUAUAUGGAAGAACACCAGUGGCGAAGGCGACAUUCUGGUCUGUUACUGACACUGAGGCUCGAAAGCGUGGGGAGCAAACAGG